rnacentral:rRNA from 1 species
AAUCUUAGACAAUGGGCGCAAGCGGUGAUCUAGCCAUGCCGCGUGAGUGAUGAAGGCCUUAGGGUCGUAAAGCUCUUUCGCCAGGGAUGAUAAUGACAGUACUUGGUAAAGAAACCCCGGCUAACUCCGUGCCAGCAGCCGCGGUAAUACGGAGGGGGUUAGCGUUGUUCGGAAUUACUGGGCGUAAAGCGUACGUAGGCGGAUUAGAAAGUAUGGGGUGAAAUCCCAGGGCUCAACCCUGGAACUGCCUCAUAAACUACUAGUCUAGAGUUCGAGAGAGGUGAGUGGAACUCCGAGUGUAGAGGUGAAAUUCGUAGAUAUUCGGAAGAACACCAGUGGCGAAGGCGGCUCACUGGCUCGAUACUGACGCUGAGGUACGAAAGUGUGGGGAGCAAACAGGAUUAGAUCCCGGGUAGUCCACACCGUA